GCCAAGCAUGGUGGUGCCUGCUUGUAAUCCCAGCCUAUUAGGGAAGCCUAAAGCUAGUUGAUCUCUUAAGCUCCUGGGAGUUUCAACCUGCAGUGGACUAUGCAGAUCAGAUAUCUGCUCUCAGGUUGGCAUCAAUUUGGUGGGCCACCAGAUUGCUUAAGGAGGAAUUGACUGGCCCAGACCUGAAAUGGAACAGGACAGAAUUCCUGGGCCAAUCCAUACUGGGAUUGGGCCUGGGCCUGUGAGUUGCCGUUAGACUUGCCUCCUUAGUAAGAAUUUUUUUUUU
ensembl:misc_RNA Metazoa_SRP Metazoan signal recognition particle RNA